AAUAGAUACCCCGGUAGUCCACGCCCUAAACGAUGCGAACUGGAUGUUGGGUUCAACUUGGAACUCAGUAUCGAAGCUAACGCGUUAAGUUCGCCGCCUGGGGAGUACGGCCGCAAGGCUGAAACUCAAAGGAAUUGACGGGGGCCCGCACAAGCGGUGGAGUAUGUGGUUUAAUUCGAUGCAACGCGAAGAACCUUACCUGGCCUUGACAUGCACGGAAGCUUCCAGAGAUGGGAGUGUGCCUUCGGGAACCGUGACACAGGUGCUGCAUGGCUGUCGUCAGCUCGUGUCGUGAGAUGUUGGGUUAAGUCCCGCAACGAGCGCAACCCUUGUCCUUAGUUGCCAGCACGUAAUGGUGGGAACUCUAGGGAGACCGCCGAUGACAAAUCGGAGGAAGGUGGGGACGACGUCAAGUCAUCAUGGCCCUUACGGCCAGGGCUACACACGUACUACAAUGGUGGGGACAGAGGGCUGCAAGCGCGCGAGCGUGAGCCAAUCCCAGAAACCCCAUCUCAGUCCGGA
rnacentral:rRNA from 1 species